AGUAUCACAUCUUUUCAGCACUACAAGAGACAGGUAAAACGAGAGGAACACUAACUUUACCAUGACCCAGGGUAGUGUACCCCUAAUUUGUUUGUCCUCUCAAAAGUAGGGGUCGCCGUUGAACUCAGCAUCGGUGUCAAAAACAUGUUUUAAUCUGCAGCCUGCACUCGCACAAGCAGAAAGCUGCUGCCGUAUCCUUCAAACUGUUACAUGAAGCAAGUUUAUCAAACAAGCUUGCUAGAUUUCUCCAGAUUGAAGAUCUGGGUGUGGGUUAGCCAAAGCUACUCAGUCUGGAUGAAAGCAGCAAACAUGAGAGUCCAGCAUGAACUCAUUUGAUUCAUUGGUAUUGGCCAGCCAAAAUCUUAAUAUCAGGUAGUUUUGCAAACGUUUGCUCGUCCGACAGCACUUCCCCCAUCAACAACAAACUAGUAAACCCUGCCUAGCCAAAGCUAGCUUAAUGAAAUGAAACGGACCCCAGCGAUUAUUAUCCGGAGGAUUGUUCCGAUCAUGUACGAGGACGUUAGCAACGCAUUGUAGAUCUCUGCAAUAGAGAUCUUCUUCAGGAGUAGGAAUGGACGAGCAGAAAUCAAACUGCGAAGAAAAUGAUUCAGAAACUGCAGCUGAUGAUGGGACCGCUGCAAAGGAGAGCGUCCAAGUUGAGGGGGAACUGAGUGCCCCUGUUGCAGCAGAGGACGUCUCGGGCACUAGUGUGGACACUUCCAGCUCAUCAUUGGAGACUGUCAGGGCCUGUGCUCUGUGUAACUGUGUGGAGCGUAGUCUGCAUGGUCAACGGGAGCUCCGGUGUUUUGGACCCUCUUCCGAUCGGCCCAGCUUGGAGCCCUCUGUCUCCUCUCUGCCAGCAGCUGGAAACGAUGACCUGUCUUCCAUUGGAUUCUCUGAAUCCACCUGUCUGGCAUCUUUCUUUGAUGACAAAGGGAGCUGCUGGGUUCACCACUGGUGUGCCGUGUGGUCAGAAGGAGUGGAACAGACUGAGGGUGAGGUGCUGAUAAACGUGGAUAAGGCAGUCAUCUCAGGGAUACAGCGGCCAUGUGAUUAUUGUAAACGGAUGGGCGCUACCAUCCGGUGCCGGGCCGAAGGCUGCUCACGGUUCUACCACUUCCCCUGCUCGGCUGCGAGUGGAUCAUUCCAGUCCAUGAAGCAGCUGGCGCUCCUCUGUCCAGAGCACAUAGACAAGGCGGAGGAGAUUGCCGGAGAGGAGGCGCGGUGUGCAGUCUGCGACUCCGUUGGAGACCUGUCGGGUUUGCUAUACUGUACGGGCUGUGGGCAGCACUAUCAUGACGCCUGUCUAGAAAUCAGUGCUACACCACUUCAGCGGUCAGGCUGGCAGUGUCCCGAGUGCAAGGUUUGCCAGACCUGCAGGCAACCAGGAGAGGAUUCGAAGAUGCUGGUUUGCGAUGCUUGUGACAAGGGCUACCACACCUUCUGUCUACUGCCAGCCAUGGACUCUGUUCCCCCUGAUUCAUGGAAGUGCAAACGGUGCCGUGUGUGUAUUGACUGUGGCAUGCGAGGGCUGAAGCUUCCUGGCUCUGAACAGUGGUUUGAGAGCUACACGGUAUGCGAUGGCUGCCAGCGCAGGCGCACCUCUGUAUGCGGCGUGUGCAGUAAAGCCGUGGAGCCCUCGGCCUCCCUCCAACAUUGCUGUGCCAUCUGCCACAGAUGGGUACACAGUGAUUGUGCCUCUCUGUCAGGGCCUCCUGAGGAGAAAUGCAUCUGUGUGCUCUGCAAAGAAAUCCCAGAUGAGGUUCCAAUCGAGUCUGAGGUGUCAUCCACACAUGUAGAUGAAAAAGCUGAUUUGGAGGUGCCAAUGGAAUUGGGGACAGAGCUUGAGGUGGUUGGAAUGGCAGAAGUGAAAGAAAGCAUUAUAGAGGAGGAACAACGGCCAGAAGGUGCUGAGGGCUCCACAGAGGCUAAUGUGCACAGUGAGGUCUCUACAGAGCAGAAGCCUCCUUUAGCUACGCCUUCAAAUAUGGAUGAAAAACAAAAAGAGGAGAGCACCAGUGAAACAGUGGUUACAGAGGCCGUUGAAGAGAAAUCAGAGGACACUCAGGACCCUCCUAUGAAGGAUAGCCCAGACAGCCCUGUCCCUGACACUAUAGAGGAAGCCCAACCUGAUGUAUCCGAGACUCCUGUAGAAAGGCAGGAGUCGCAAGGGCAAGACGAGCCUCCUCAAACAGAGACAGAGUUGGACAGUACAGUGGAGGCCACUGAAACAAAGCCUCCGACAAGCCUGUGUUCUCAAUCUUCUCAAAUCACACUCCCUGUUUUGGAAGAAGCAGAGCCAGUUGCGAUGGACUUGGAGGACGAGAGUUCUGAGACGCGGCAAGAGGCAAUAGACAGGACUCCUCCACCUGCUCCUCAGAUGGAAAUGCCCCCUGCAUCUGACACUGAUGACAGAAUGGGCCAGUCUGAGGAUGAGGAAGAGGAGGAUGAGCAGGGGGUGGAGGAAUCCUUAGAGGAAUCGCUCCUCAAAGAUGACAGUCAGGGAGAAGACGAUCAGUCCAGGAAGGAGAUGCAAGAGGAUAUGAAGCCUGAGCUGGUCCUCGAUGAGACAUCAAACAUUAGCCAUGGUGACGAGAGCAGCAGCGGUUUCCUUGGCUCGCCGGCUGAGGCAGACUCUCAGAUGCUGUCCAUGGAACUCAGCCUGGUGCCAGCUGGCAGGACCCGUUCUGAUUCGCUGCUCACCGAAACUGAGGACUCGUUGCCUUUUGAUCCGCUGAAGCCCGAUGGGGAGAAAGUGAAGCGUAGGGGUUCUCCAGGACGCUCACGAGUCAAGCAGGUGGAUGGACGAGGCAGUGGUUUCCCAGGGAAACGGCGGCCGCGAGGUGGUGGUGGUGGCGGCGGCAGCGGUGGUGGAAGAGGUCGUGGACGGUCACGUCUCAAAGCAAUGGCCUCUUGCAUUGACGCCUUUAUACUAAGCAUGACUGCAGACACUGGACUUAGCAAAGAAGAAGAUGAGGAGGAAGAUGACACCAUGCAAAAUACUGUGGUACUUUUCUCCAACACUGAUAAGUUUGUCCUGCAGCAGGACAUGUGUGUAGUGUGUGGUAGUUUUGGACAAGGUGUGGAGGGCCAGCUUUUAGCCUGUGCUCAGUGUGCACAAUGUUAUCAUCCAUACUGUGUGAACAGCAAGAUCACCAAGAUGAUGUUAAGAAAAGGCUGGCGUUGUCUUGAGUGCAUUGUGUGUGAGGUGUGUGGGAAGGCUUCAGAUCCUGCCCGAUUGCUGCUUUGUGACGACUGUGAUGUCAGCUAUCACACUUAUUGCUUGGACCCACCCUUACAGACUGUGCCCAAGGGAGGCUGGAAGUGCAAAUGGUGUGUGUGCUGUAUGCAGUGUGGUGCUAGCUCCCCUGGGUUCCACUGUGAGUGGCAAAAUAACUACAAUCACUGCGGCCCGUGCGCCAGCCUGGUAACAUGUCCUGUGUGUCGGGAGAACUUCAUGGAGGAGGAGCUGCUUCUGCAGUGUCAGCACUGUGACAGAUGGGUUCAUGCUGUAUGUGAGAGUCUUUACACUGAGGAUGAGGUUGAACAAGCAUCUGAUGAAGGCUUUGCCUGUACAGCCUGCACUCCAUAUGUCCCCAGGCCUAUCGUGGAGUCUCCCAUGAUGUCGGCUUUCAAAAUGAAAGAACCAGAGCCACAGUUUUAUCGUCUGGAGGGUGUCUGGCUAACAGAGACUGGCAUGUCUUUAUUGCGAAGCAUCUCCAUGUCACCCCUGCACAAGCGCAGGCAGCGCCGGUCCCGACUGGGCACCAUGUGUAUUGAUGAGCUAAAAGAAGGCGAUGCAGAUGGUGAUGAGGGGAAAGGAGGUGCAGAAGCGAUGGAAUGUGAGCCUAAGCUGGAAGCACCAGGGAGCCCAGACAGGGAUGGAGGAGUGGACAGAGAAACUGGGACAGAUGGAGGUAUAGAGGGCAUGGCUGACUGUGAAACUCUCAAAGGAGGAGUAGAAGAGACUGAUGACGGGAAGAAGAGAAAGCGGAAACCAUACAGACCAGGGAUUGGAGGGUUCAUGGUCCGGCAAAGAAAGUGUCACACACGAAUGAGGAGGAGUCUGUCUGCCUCUGGUGAUGCUGUUCCUGAAGGUCAAGCAGCUGAAACGAAACUUGAGGAAGGACCUCAUCCUGAUAUACCUCUCGAUGUCCCAGAGGCAAAGACAGCAGAGGGAGAGGGUGAGCAAGCCAAAAAGCGCAGGGGCAGAAAGAAGAGCAAGUUGGAGGACAUGUUUCCUGCAUACCUACAGGAGGCUUUCUUUGGCAAGACAUUGCUCGAUCAGAGUAAGAGAGCCUUUCUUGCUCCUCCACCCCAAAGACAUACGCAGGGCAUUCUGAGACCUCCUCUCCCUGGGAAUGGGGCCAGAAAUACAGCCUCAGAACCAACUGAGUCCACAGUAAGGCCGACUGGUCUUCCCAUGGAACUAAAGCAAGAGGUUGAAGGAUCUAAGCCUCCAGGUGAUCGAGCAGCAGUAGGGCCAGGAGCAACUGGGCAACUUUCCAACACAGAUCAGAGCUCAGGAGGUGCACAAGGGUCUGACAUACAGAAGAAUGAAGAUCUCCCUCUGGGACUAGAAAGUCAGGAUUCUGAGCAGUUCUUCCGCAAAGUACUUGGACCCACUGAGGGGAGCUCUGUGAGUGGGCCGCUGCAGCCUAGCAUUAAGCCUGUUCAGGAGAGUGAUUCAAAUCAAAGUGGUUUCCCUCAAAGAAACCUCCUUCCAGGUGCUUCCUUAUCUGGUGCACUCCCCUCAACUGGUAUGAUGGACUCUUUUUCAGGUCUCUCCCAGUCCCCCUUUUUCGAUAUACGUGAUCGAGGUGGUCUUUUCAGUCCAGACCAGGAUGAGGAAAGUCCAUGGGCAACACCAUCCACUCCAGCCACCCCUUCUACUCCUCCAACUCCUACUGAACAGGAAGGUGAUGGCCUCUCCUACAAUCAGCGCAGUCUGCAGCGUUGGGAGAAAGAUGAGGAACUGGGAAAUCUGUCUACCAUCUCUCCUGUAUUAUAUGCUAACAUGAACUUCCCUAGUCUCAAACAGGACUACCCUGACUGGGCAAGUCGCUGCAAACAAAUAAUGAAGAUUUGGAGGAAGGUAUCAGCUGCAGACAAGGUUCCUUAUCUGCAAAAGGCCAAAGAUAAUAGGGCUGCUCAGAGAAUAAACAAGGCACAGAAGCAGGCAGAGAGUCAAGUAUGUCGGCCUAUCAAAACUGAGCCUGGCCGUAUUAAAGGGGAGCGCCCUAAUCUGCACCUCCAAAUUCCCCCACCCUCAGGCUCUGUAUCCACUUCCUCCCAGCCAAGCUCUGCUGAGAGUCCUUACCCCCAUGCCCCAGACUCUGCAUCUUCAGCCUUUUUUCCUGAUGGACCCCUCAAGACUCCAUGCUCAGCUGAUUUGCAGACAGACCCAUUUUCUAAACUUCCCUCUCAGUCUCCGCACCUUCAAUCUCAGCCAUCCACCCCAUACUCGCAGCCUUCUUCCAGCCCCUUGCCAGCCUCUUCCUCAGGAUAUUCUAUGCCUGGCUCACAGGGUGCUACUCAGGGACGGCCAGCCAGUUUCGGCUCCCUUGACAUGCAACCAGGGACUCCUCGUAGGGCCCAGCAGGUUGACCCAUUUUUUAGAUCACAACAGCAGAUCCCCAAACCUCAGCAGCCCUCUCAGGAGGCCUUAGGUCCACCUGAGAGUCCUCGACCUAGGCCUGGUGGGCCUGGAGAUUCUCAGAUGUUCUCACCACCUCAUACAACACAGUGUGGCGACCCUUACCGUGGCCAGCAUGGAGCUGCUCGACAAGAUCACGCUUCAUCUCCAUCUGCAAUAGCUUCUUCACCUGCUGGGGUGGGCCCAAAUAGGGCAGAAAUUAAUGCCCCAUCUCCACGUUCUUCUUUUGGCAGACAAGACCUAAGCUCUGGUUCUCCUGCUAGUUUGGACUCUGGAGAUGGGUUAUUCAAAGCCCCCAUGACACCUCGUAUGCAUCAGGGGGAUGCAAGUGGCAUGUCUGUUUCGCACCCUCCAGGUGCCUCUCCUAAUCAUCCUGACAACUACCGCCAAUCUCCCUCCACGUUCUCUGACCCUUACACCCAGCCUCCUCUCACACCGCGACCUCAGUCGGGCGAUGGCUCCUCUCCUGUACCCCAAAGGCUUCCUGCGCCUCAGCAAGAAACAUAUUCAAGAUUGCCUUCCAGUCCUCAGUCGCAAGGCAGUUCUCAGUCGCCUCUCACACCAGGAGCUAUUUCCAAUGAUAUGCAUUCUGUGCAGUCGCCAGCCACUCCACGCUUCCAGUCGCCUGACCCUUACUCCCGCCCACCCUCACGACCUCAGUCCAGAGAUCCCUUUGCCUCACUGCAUAAACCCCCUCGCCCAUCUUCUGUAGCACCAGAAGGUAACUCCCCCUAUAGAGGCUCACCUCAUCAUAGCCAGCAACCCCCCUGCUCACCCUCAGUAGCAGAUCCGCUCUCUGGAAAACCCCCUGCUUUCAGCUGCAGUCCUGGUGUAGGGCUUCAAAUGGGCCAGCAACAAGUAGUUGGCCAGCAGCAGAUGAUGACUACUCAGCAAGCUCAGGUCCAUCUCCAGCAGCCACAAUCCCUGAAGCAACCAGUGGGUGCUGAUUUUAACUCAAGAAUAGCACUUCAACCUGGAAACCAAGAAACGACUGUGCGGCCAACAGAUGCUCCACAUUUACCCAACAUGCCAGGGACGCAGGAUAUGUCAGACCUGUCAGCUGGACAGGAUCCAGCUCUCAUAAGCCUUAGUCCAUCCGAGCUAGAAAAGCACAGACAGAGGCAGCGAUUAAGAGAGUUUUUGAUAAGACAAAAAAUGCAGAGAAACUCACUUCGCCAAGAGAAGGAAGCACCUGUGGUGAGUAAUCCUGCUCAGAAUUGGCAAAGUGGGGAAAUGCCAGCCUUUCCGCAAGACAAAAGCCAGCGAGCACCACCUCCUUAUCCUCAGGACAGAGCUGUGGUUGCUCAGGCAGCACUUGGCAGCAGGAUGCCUCUGCCAAUGGGAGCAGUGGAUGAAAAGCUUUGCCGCCCACCUCCUCCUGGGACACCAGCAACUAUGGAGCCCAGUGCAUUAAGGCAAGCUGGGCCCAAUAUUUCUCAGGGGAUGUAUCCUCGCCCACCAUUUCCUGCACAGUGGCAAAACCAAGGCGCUCCACGGAGGUUCCCACAACCAUCUAUGAUCGAAGGCGUUCCCAGGCAGCACCUUAAUACUCCCAUCAACAGUUCUCUCAACAUGCAGUCCAUGCAGAACAUCCCUAAUCCUUUGACAGGGGUUGUAGGCACUGGCGCAGAGGCUGUACAAAGCCAUGUUUCGGGAGCACCACCUCAGUUUAUAGAGCUGAGGCAUAAUUCCCAGAGGAUGCCACUGGGUCCUCAGUUUAUGCAAAGGGCGCCUACACCCAGACCACGCAUGUUUCUUCCACAGCAGGAAAUGAAUGCUGCUUUUGUUCAGCAGAACUUACCCCCGUCUCUCGAUGCUUCAGCGGAGGUUAUGCGUGAUCCCAGACUUGGGUUACAGCAGGGUGGCAUGGACUUAUUAAUGCAACAACAAAGCAAUGUACCCCCUCCUCAGUCUCAACUACAGCCGCAGCAGGUGCCAACUACUACACCUAAAACGCCCAUUUCUCACACUACUUCUCAACAGCUUCCUCAAACAAGUACAAUAGUAGGUCAGCAGACUGUUGUGAAUCCAGUUGACCUACCUGAGUCUGACCUAGAGGAUGCCUUUGCUUCCAAAGGGCUGGGUGAUACAGUGGCAGAAACCGGAGUGGAGGAUGAUGAUCUUGCUACUCUUGACCUUGAUCCUGAUAAAGGUGAUGAUGAUUUGGGAAACCUCGACAAUCUUGAGACCAAUGAUCCUCAUUUGGAUGAUCUGCUCAACAGUGAUGAAUUCGAUUUGCUGGCAUACACUGACCCUGAGCUUGAUCAGGGUGAUCCCAAAGAUGUUUUUUCUGACCAGUUACGACUUGUGGAAGCAGAGGGGGAAGGACCAGGGUCUUCUGCUAAUGUAGAAAUCAAGGUUGAAGAGAAACCAAGAGUGGAUUUAGCUUGCCGGGACAUGCGCACAACUACCACUCAACCACCUUUAAAGACUGAGAGUUCAUCUGCUACCAGUACUCCAAAAGUAGAGUCCUCUGAUGCCGUUAGACUGUCCUCUGUAAAACUUGAAGACAAGGAACAACCACAGUCAGGACAAGCUUCGGUUAAAGAUGAUCUCAGUGAAACUGUGUCGGUUUUGCUCAGUGGAACAAAAGCCUCUAAUCAACCAGAGACUGCAACUGCUUCUUUGAACACCGUCCGUUUAGGUGGUAUACCUUUUCCUCUUCCCAACCAAGCAGAUACACUGUCUUUUCCACCAGCUGCACCACAUCCAGACCUGGGUAAUGAUCCACUUGGGUUGCCAGAUUCUGGCCACCACUCUACAGCAGAAGAUCUAGACAAAGUAGAAAGCUCACUGGAAGCAAGUGAACUGCCUUUAUUAAUACAAGAUCUUUUAGAGCAUGAAAAGAAGGAGCUUCAGAAACAACAACAGCAGCAGCAUUUAAGUGCUCUACAGGGAGGGAUUGGUAGUCAACUUCACAGCAUUCAGAAUCCGCAACAGCCUCCUCAGGGGCCAAAUCAAAUUAUGAUGCCACAGCACCACCAUCCAUCCCAGGGCAUUGUGCCUCAAGCAGGUAUGGUGCCUAGGCCACCUCACGUGUUACCACAACAGCAGCAGAGGUUAAUUGGUGCUGCAAUGCCUUCACCUCCCCAUGCAGCAAUGGGACAGCAGCAAGGCAUUUUACGAGGUGGACAGCCCGGUAGAAUUCAUCCUGGUAUUACACCUCAGCAACAGACAGCACCACCUCCGCAUAUAGUUAAACAGCAAAACUUGGCCAGCAGCUUCCCAGCUUUCCCAGAUAAAGAGCUGGAUAAAUUCAUGGCAGAUGACAUAAUGGAUCCUAUUGCAAAGGCUAAAAUGGUUGCGCUGAAAGGAAUUAAGAGGGUGUUGGCUCAAGAUCCAAUGGGUGUACCACCUGGAAUAAACAGGCAACAAGUAUCUCUUUUGGCUCAGAGGUUAACUUCAGCCCCUGGAAAUGAGGAUUCCCAGGCUCAGCUUGCACCUGGGUCUUCCAAGGAUGGAGAAGGCAGCAACCAGGUUCAAGCUAGACCGAAUCCUCCACAAUUUGGCAUCAUCAAUGAUGCUGAGCAGCACCAAUAUGAAGAAUGGCUUGUGCACACCCAGCAGUUGCUGCAAAUGCAGUUGAAGUUCUUAGAAGAGCAAAUUGGAGCACAUCGCAAAUCCCGUAAAGCUCUGUGUGCCAAGCAGCGUACUGCAAAGAAAGCUGGGCGUGAAUUUGCAGAAGCAGAUGCUGAAAAGCUCAAACUGGUCACCGAGGAACAGAGUAAAAUCCAGAAACAAUUGGACCAGGUACGUAAGCAGCAGAAGGAGCACACCAAUCUUAUUGCAGAGUACCGAAGUAAGCAACAGCAGCAUCAGCAAGGGUCUUCCAUGCUAGCUCCUGGGCCCUCUACACAGGCGCCCCACAUGCUUUCCAAGAUGCCUGGACAAAUGAUGAUCGGCCAACAAGGAGGACCAAUUAUUGGUCAGCCACCUGGAGGGAUGCCUCAAGCAGGGAUGCCUCAAGCAGGGAUGCCUCAAGCAGGGAUGCCUCAAGGAGGGAUGCCUCAAGGAAGUAUCCCAAUUAGAAUGCCACAAAUGCAACCCUUUAGUGGAGCCCAGGCUUCUCUCCCACUUGCAGCUGGCACUGUGCAACCAGUGCCACCUCCUGGUUUUUUCCCACAAGGCCCUGGAGCACAAGGACCAGAUCCAAGAGUUCUACAGGAGCGACAGUUACAGCAUAGAAUGCAAAUGGUCCAAAAAAUGCAGCAGCAGCAACAACAACAACAGUUGAUGAUGGGGCAGCAGCCUAUGUCACAUCAACCUCAGCAGCCUGGUGUAAUGAACCAGCAGCCUGGAGCCAUAGGCAACCAGCCAGCCCAAGUUUUGAUGGGCAAUAUGGGGCAGCAGCAACCAAACCUACAACAAGGAAUAAUUAAUAAUCAGCAAAAUCGGCAGGGGUUAAUUCAGACUCCUCCAGGUAUGAUGGGGAACCAAGCUAUUGGGCAGACACAACAUAAUGUCAUGGGCCAGCCAAUGACCCAAACUGCAAAUAUGCUGGCAGGCCAACCACAGGGUAUGGUUGGUAAUCAACAAAUCGUUCAGCAGCUUCAGAGACCUCAGGGUUUGAUGGAUCAGCAUGUUGUUAGGGGCCCACCAGCCCAGCUCACACCUCAACAGCAGAGUGUAAUGGCUCAGCGCAUGCUCAUGUCACAGCAGCAGCAGAAAAACCUUGCUCAGCUUCAACAGCAACAAAUCUCACAAUUGAAACAACCGCCACAGGCUGGUCCCUCUGAGCCACAAAGAGCUUUAGAAACUCCACCAUCAGGGAGUACCCAAGGAGUUGCUGAGAGCUUGCAACAAGGUGUCCAAGAUCUUCAGAAUCCUGCCCAUAAAGAUGGAGGACUACUUAAUCCGAAAACACCCCCCCAACAGGGUGGACCUCCUACACCACUUCAGAUGCAACAACAGGGAUCCAGUGGAGAUCAGCAUUGUGUUGUUGGACAACCACAGCAACCACAUGCUUUUCUGGGUCAACAACCGACAGCACAGCCUCAACCAACUGAACAACAUGGUUUUGUAGGCAGCCAGCAGACUGGAACACAUCUUAAAGUACAACCACAGCAACAACAGAUGCAACUUGGACUUCAGACCCAGAACACCAUACAAAUAAAACAGGAAGAUCAGCAAAUGUGCUUUAUGGCCCAACAGCAAGCUGGUCAGAUUGCUGCACAACAACCGCAAGAUGUGCUUGGCCAAAAUAGUGGUCAGGCGCAAACUACAAUGACUGGCAUUACAAAUCAACAGCAGCAAGCUCUACUGACUCAACAAAUGGGCAUUCCUAGAGGCCAGCAGAUGAUGAUGACUCCAAGGCCUGGUGCUUCUGCAGGGCCAAUACGUGCCCCUAUUAACAUUCAAGCCUUCAUUGCGCAGAACCCCCAACUGCGACACCUGACUCCCAGCCAACAGUUGCAGCAAAUUCAGGCAAUGAUUGCCCAGCGACAGCUACAACAAGGCCAGAUGCUAAGAAUGCACGGUCAGGCACAGGGACAGAUGCGUCCCCAGGUCCCACAGGGGCCACCAGUUGGUCCACGGCUUCCAGGUCUUGAAACACAACAGCAGCACCGCUUUGGGUUGGCAGGCAAACACGGUCCAGCUGGCCCUCAACAGCAAUCUGGAGCAAUGGGACAACCUGGUAUGGCUACACAGUUUCAUCAAGGUGUUGCGGGGGCUAUGCAACAGCCUUCUCAAGGACCUUUGCCUCAGUACAUCAAUAGUGCCCAGCAGCAGCAGCAGAUGUUACAACAGCAACAACUACAUCAUCAUCAGAUGAUUAGAGGUCAAGUGCCCAGGCCAGUAUUGGGUCAGGUUCGUGCCACAGCACCUGGACAUAUGGCUAGACCAAUGUCUCCUCGCCAGUUAGUGGGUCAGGGUUCUCCUGGAAGCCCGCUUUCUAAUCAGCAAAGGCUUAUGAGAAUGUCUCAGACUCCACCAGGACCACAGCAUCUUCAGCAACAACAGUCCCAUGUGGCGACAGCACUGAGCCCCUUUCAAGCCUCUCCUUCUCAUGCAGGUUCACCUGCAGGGUCCUCUGUUCCAGAACCUGGUUCAAGCCCAGCAUCUUUGAAUAAACCUGAGACAGGCAACCUGUCACUCUCCAGUCACUUGUCUUCGCCUUCUAGGCCAGAUGGUGUUGUAGGAAAGGGUAGCCCCUUUAGCCAGACAGGGGGAUCAGUCGCUUCACCUCUGAGAUCUCCAAAUAUGAAGACUCAGAGUCCCAAUACUGAAGCUCUUUCUGCUUCUUUAACACACAAUGGUCCAUCUCCUCAGUCAGCACCCAACCCACACCAAACACCAACUGCUGCCCAAGUAUCUGAGGGUCAUAUGUCAACUCCAUUGCCCAACGAAAUGUGCAAGAUGACACUGCAAAACAUCAAACAGGAACCACGUGAAAUCCAGUGUGACACAGGAGGUAGUGUAGAGGCCCAUUCUGAGGGCAUAAAGAGAGAAAUUUCUGGAGAGACAGUCAGUGCUACUGCUAUUUCGAACUCUGCUCUGGGCCCCAGAAAUCAAGCAGGAGAUCUUGGAUCCCAAAUUCAAAGGACAGAGACUGGCCAACAGCUACUACAGAAACUCCUUAGAACCAAAAACUUACAACUGGCAUCUCAAAGGCCCUCAGAUGGUAUUCAUAAUGAGAUAAAUGGGCACAUCAAUAGCAAGCUAGCAAUGCUGGAGCAAAAGCUUCAAGGAACUCCACGCAACAUGGAGGAUCUGCAGUCACUCACAAAGAGAACUCCAAUUGUCAAGGCCAAACGUACUACAAAAGCUGGAGAGCGUGGGCCAAACUCUAGAAAGAAAACCAAGAAAGAAGAAGUUGGAAAAACUGAGGCAAUAAUGAAGCAGCUGAAACAAGGGCUUUCUCUUCUUCCUUUGAUGGAGCCCUCCAUUACUGCUAGUCUGGAUUUGUUUCGCUCCCUUUGGUAGCAGCCCAGCCAAUGCCAAGACCCAGUUGAAAGGCUCAUUUGGAAAUGCUAUGCUGGACAAUAUUCCAGAUUACUAUUCCCAGCUUCUUACAAAGAACAACCUCAGCAAUCCUCCAACCCCACCGUCAUCACUUCCCCCAACUCCUCCACCUUCGGUGCAGCACAAACUUCUAAAUGGAGUGACACCUGUAGAGGAACUAGCAGAAGGUCAAAAAGAGACAGAGGCGUCAGAAGAUACCAUGG